CCUUCCAAUAGCCUUUUAGCAAAGUCCAUUGAAGUGUUUGAUGAGAACAAUCGUAUUGUGAUAGCCAAAUCUAGGAAAUUUAGAUGAGAACACACAACACAAUUAGUUGUCUGGAUUUCUCUUGCAUGGAUGCCAUCACGCUGUUGCUUUUCUUGCUCCCUUUCCAUCUUCAUCUCUUCCAAGCUGCUGAUUCCACAUGCCCACAGUCCUCCGUCUGUGGAAACCACACUCUCAAGUUCCCCUUCACGAUAGCAGAUAAUCCCGGCUGCGGAUUGAUCACCGUUGAUGGCUGUAACUCCGAUCCUCCAUAUCCAGUGAUUCAUAUAGGUGACGGAGAUCUUGGUUUUGCUAUCUUGAAUCAUAGUUCAACGUCAAGCAAGAUAUUUAUUCUUGCUCGUCAGCUUGAAGCUCAAUUGAAGAACCGCACCUGCUUUGCUAUUACGAAUCAAUCCAUACUUCGAUCGCCUUCUAUUUCAUUCUCAUUUUCUCCUAAUCUCACCUUGUUACCCUGCUUAACUGAUCCUACUCAUAGAUCUAAAGUUGAUGACUAUUUCGUAACUAUAGCAGGAUAGAUUGUCUCACCCCCGUGUACUAUAAUAUUCCAGCAUCCAAGGACAAAACUGUUGCUCCGGAAGGAUGUUCAUUAGUCCAGCUACCUAUGAAUUCCAGUGGGAACUCGGAUGAUUUGUUUAGUAUGAUAACUGCUAGUUUUACUCUAGAAUGGAGUGUUUCUGAUAAAUGCCGCCGUUGUUUCAAUGCGGGAGGCCAGUGUCUUACCGCCAACGAUAACAAAUUCUCCUGCAGAAAAGGAGAUACGGGACUUCGGAAGAACCUGCUCUUAAGUGGUAUGGCUGUGGUCGCAGCUACAUCCUCUUUCAUACUAUUUAUAUUCCUUUUCAUUCGGAUGAGACGUGCAAAGCAAAAAAAAGGGGCAUGAUAGAGACAUUGAACUCUUUCUCAAGAACAAUGGAAAUCUUGCCCCGCUGAGAUACAAAUACUCCAGCAUCAAGAAAAUGACAAACUCAUUCAGUGAAAACCUGGGAAGAGGAGGAUUCGGUAGUGUCUACAAAGGGCAGUUUCCGGAUGGCCGUCUUAUGGCGGUGAAAGUCUUGAAUGAAUCAAACGGAAAUGGGGAAGAUUUCAUGAACGAGGUUGCCAGUAUUAGCAUAACUUCCCACGUUAAUAUUGUUGCGCUUUUGGGAUUUUGUUUCGAAGGUUCUAAACGAGCACUCAUUUACGAUUCAUGCUAAUGGAUCUCUUGAGAAGUUCAUUGGCAAUAAUGCUUCCUCGUCUCAAGAAUCUGUGUUAGGAUGGGAGAAAUUGUUUGAGAUCGCUCUUGGGAUAGCUCGAGGGCUAGAGUACUUGCACCAAGGGUGCAAUACGAGGAUUUUGCAUUUGGACAUCAAGCCUCAGAACAUUCUUCUGGAUGAGGAAAUGAAUCCGAGGAUUUCAGAUUUUGGGCUUGCUAAACUAUGUCCUAAUAGAUCAAGCAUAGUCUCUUUGAUUGUGGCAAGAGGUACUAUAGGCUACAUUGCCCCAGAGGUGUUUUCUAGAAACUUUGGAGAAGUCUUUUAUAAGUCUGAUGUGUAUAGUUAUGGAAUGUUGAUUUUGGAAAUGGCUGGAGGAAGGAAAACCAUUGAUCCAAGAGAUGCAGAUUGUUCGAGUGAGAUAUACUUCCCAAACUAUCUCUACAAGCAGCUAGAGAUGAAUGCAGAAAGAGACAGUGGUCUUUGUGGAAUAAUGAAUGAAGAAGAUGAAAGCCAACAUGUGAAGAGAAAGUUGAUAAUUGUCGGGUUGUGGUGAUUCAAACAAACCCUAAGGACCGACCAUCGAUGACAAAGGUCGUAGAGAUGUUGGAAGGGAAAAUUGGAACUUUGGAGGUUCCACCUAAGCCUUACCUUUACUCGCCACCAAGAUCACCACAAAGCUUUACAACCUUUGAAUCUUUAUAAUAUUUUGCUUGAAUUUGUAUGGAAGUUGUGUAAAAUUUUAGUGUAACAAUAUUGGAAU